rnacentral:rRNA from 1 species
UUCGGAUUGUAGUCUGCAACCCGACUACAUGAAGCUGGAAUCGCUAGUAAUCGCGGAUCAGAAUGCCGCGGUGAAUACGUUCCCGGGCCUUGUACACACCGCCCGUCACACCAUGGGAGUCGGAAAUGCCCGAAGUCUGUGACCCAACCGGAAGGAAGGAGCAGCCGAAGGCAGGUCUGAUGACUGGGGUGAAGUCGUAACAAGGUAGC